rnacentral:lncRNA from 1 species
AUAACUCGCUGUGAGGCUUACAGUGAAUGUGAUUACUUCCACAGUCCCUGUUUCUUGUGACAAUGACAUCAAGAAAUUCACCUGCUGCCUUUCGGACACCGUCAUGAUCCUAAGUACCAACCUUCCCCGUGGGCUGCGGGUGGCCCCCAUGGAGCAGCAACGUCACGCUCACCGCGCUGCCGUACUUCCAUUACACGUCUGCAAGCGAAAUCAAACCUGGGGGAUUUCUUCCUAGCGCUCCAGCCCUGCAGCCACACCGCAGAAUACAAAUGCCGGGCUGACGCACGCGCUUGGCGCUCGGCUCGCCGCCCCAGGGACCGUCAGCGGGCUGCAAGCCUUGAAGGGCUUGAGGCUCGUUAACACCAGGCUUUAAAUAACCGCGGUGCUGGGGGAGCGGGUGCUGCGUGUCCCUGCGGCGUGUAUUUAUGUGUGUGAGCGCGUUUGGUUUGACAACAGGAGUGAAAGAGCACUUGUUCCUUUGCUUCUCAGGUAGCAGCCCUAUGGAAAAGCAUCAAGGUGGGAAUAGGAAAGAGCUUUGUGUUGUUUGGGGUUUGCUUUAUUUUGGUUUGGUUUUGUUGUUGUUUGUUUUGUUGUUCUUUUUUCCCAUUUCUCAGAGAUUUUGGACUGAUUAAAAAGCUAUUUUUGCCAGAAAAACAAGAAAAAAAUAUCCAGCUAUACGUGGCAGGGAUAAAAGCACGCUUGACUCCUCCAAUGAGUACAAUAGCAUUUUAUAUCUUUGCUGCUUGGCCCAAUAUUGUAUCACAGGCAUCACCAGCGUUGUGCUUCCCAGCAUGCUCUAGCAUCCUUUCAAACAAGCAUUUGCUGUAGCAGAAAGUCCAAGAAAAGGCUUACUCCCUCGAGGAUCAAGAAGAAAGCAACAGUGAAGAAAGGACCGGUGGCAGCACGGAGAAUACGGAAAGCAGAUAAAGAGGAAAAUGAGGAGGUGGAGGUGAGCAGAAGGCAGCUCAGAAAAUUGCACAAGCUGUGGGGAAUUUUUGCAUCUAGCCGCUCGCACACCGCAAAGGGAGCGACUCUGCCAUCUGCAUCUCCUCUCAAAAAAAAAGGAAGGGAGAAGAGGGACAGAAUGGAGACAAAAAAAGAAAUCCACCUGUUGUGCCUCUUGUUUUGGCUGUGGUAGGAUGGAUCCAUGCUGAAUGCCUGCUGUGGGAGGGGAGGGAAGCCAACGGAGGUAUUGUUGUGUCUGAGGAGGCACCACGCGUGAGUCCUCUGCAUGGCUCUGUCCUACUGACACACUGGGAAGAGGAGGGAGGAACUAUUUUAAUCUCAUUGAGGCUGCUGAAGAGUAAAAAUGGAAGUAAUUAAAGGCCUGCUCUAGUCUCACUUAAAUCCCUUAGUCUUCAGGCCAGAGUUAUUUUUGUUACAUUGCUUUAAUGGUGUUGCAUUGAUGUUUAAAC